AACGAACGCUGGCGGCAUGCCUAACACAUGCAAGUCGAACGGGAUCCUAGCUUGCUAGGUGAGAGUGGCGGACGGGUGAGUAACACGUGGGAAUCUGCCUUUUGGUUCGGGGUAACCGCGGGAAACUGCGGCUAAUACCGAAUGCCCUCGUGAGAGGAAAGAUUUAUCGCCAGAAGAGGAGCCCGCGUCCGAUUAGGUAGUUGGUGGGGUAAAGGCCUACCAAGCCGACGAUCGGUAGCUGGUCUGAGAGGAUGAUCAGCCACACUGGGACUGAGAUACGGCCCAGACUCCUACGGGAGGCAGCAGUGGGGAAUUUUGGACAAUGGACGCAAGUCUGAUCCAGCAAUGCCGCGUGCAGGACGAAGGCCUUCGGUUGUAACUAGCUUUUGUACGGAGCGAAACGGCGUUCUUCUAAUACAGGGGCGUAAUGACGGUACCGUAAGAAUAAGACACCGGCUAACUACGUGCCAGCAGCCGCGGUAAU
rnacentral:rRNA from 1 species